ensembl:lncRNA
GAAAACAUGCCCAAACUGGAAAGACUGGGAAAAUUACACGGUGCUCCUCCGGGAUUGGUGCAUCCAGGGUGGAUGGCUCACACCAAUUGGCUGAGGACUGGGAGGCAGCGGAUAAGAAGAGACCGCCAGGGACUGCCAAUUCAUUCAUCCUCGGCCCAACCCAACCGGCAGACCGUUCACUGUGUCAAAAUAUUAUGUUAAUGUUAAUGUGUUUGGAUUUGGAGCAGACAAGAAUGGAAACUGGAAUCAUUACUAUGAGGAAAUCAAAAACACACGUCUGAGAACUGGACAACAUCCUGGAAAGCUGGAAUAUCAAUAUAUCGAGAAACUUCAUAAGCAACGGAAAAUCCAUUUUUUCAGAGGAUGGUAAUCUGGCUUUUGGUGUCUCUCAGGGGCAUUAAGAUAAGCAGCCCCCAGAACUGUAGAAUUAAAAUACUUAAGGAUAGUAGAUCUAAAAAGAAAAAAAAAUGUGUAGUUUUGUUCAUUAGUUGCAUGUUGGGUAUCAGAGAUUACUUAUUUUUGGAAGUGUUUACAUACAAUAAAGUCCUUUCAGUAUACCACCAUACAAAAGAUCUUUUCCAUUUUGUUCAUAAAACAGUUUUACUCCCCUUCGGCAACUUAUUCUUCAUCAUAUUUUGUCCAGUAUAUCCACUAUCUGUCCUCUGCACAUGUUGAAACCAUUUCAGUCUUGUCUCUCUAGCUACCCUAUCUGAGCUGUUCCACUGAUAUAUUAAUCACACACACACACACACACACACACACACACACACACACACACACACACACACACACACACACACACACAGUAUCUCUUACAUCUCUUGGUGAGAUGUAAAAUGAUUAAAAUCAUAGCUUCAUAGCUUCUGAUGACAAGCAAGAUGAUGCCU